AAAAACUAUUUCAGGGCUUCCCUGGUGGCGCAGUGGUUGAGAGUCCGCCUGCCGAUGCAGGGGACACGGGUUCGUGCCCCGGUCCGGGAAGAUCCCACAUGCCACGGAGUGGCUAGACCCGUGAGCCAUGGCCGCUGAGCCUGCAUGUCCGGAGCCUGUGCUCCGCACCGGGAGAGGCCACAACAGUGAGAGGCCCGCGUACCGCAAAAAAAAAAAAAACAAACAAAAAAAACUUUUUCAAAGAUAAAUUCCAAUCCACUAAAAGAUUAAUUAAAAUAACUCAGGAAGGAGAAAGUUGGGAUAUAAAAUAAAACUGACAUUGAAUUGAAAUCAUGUAAACAUAAAUUUAAGUGUAUAAUUAUAAAUUUGGUUACAAAUCAGAAUUCAAAUGUCAUAAAUCUUGAAAGAAAAGAUAUGUAAUGAAAAGAAAAAACCCCAUUAAUUCAGUAAAAAUGGCAGCAAUAAUAAAGACGAAUCCAAGUAACUCUAACAUAAGCCAAGAAGUAGGCGAUGGGGGAGACAGGAAGGUUGGGAGAAAGUUAAAGUUCUGCCUUGUCUUGCAAAGGGGGAUAUCAACAGUUUUAUUUCUGAUCUUGAAAAAUAGAAAAAUACUGUUAGCGGUGUGGUUUUUUUAUUUUUUUGCAGUUCGCGGGCCUCUCACUGUUGUGGCCUCUCCCGUUGCGGAGCACAGGCUCCGGACAUGCAGGCUCAGUGGCCAGCAUGGCUCAUGGGCCCAGCCGCUCCGCGGCAUGUGGGAUCUUCCUGGACCGGGGCACAAAUCCGUGUUCCCUGCAUCGGCAGGUGGACUCUCAACCACUGCACCACCAGUGAAGCCCUAGCGGUGUGGUUUUUGAAAAAAUAAAGGUAACCACUAGAAAUCUAAAGUAAGAUAUAUACAUUCCACAUCACUAGAGGGAGAAAAACAUAGGUCAGUUUGAUCAUGGGAUAAGGUCACAUCGGGUCAAAGGACCAUGGUCCGGUUUCAUUUUUGUCAUUGACUUUUUGAAUUUAUUUAGAGGAGCAUUACCUGCUUCUUUUUGGCCCACAUUUGGGAAAAUUUUUUAAAAGGAGGGGGUUGGUGGGAGAUUUGUCCAUUGUGUGAAAUGUAUUCUUUUAGAAAUUUAGAUCAUCCGUGACUCAUCCCCAUGAUGUUUCGAGAUAUUUUUGGACAGAUCUUUAGGAAGGUCUUGGAGGCAGAGGGCUUGAGGAAGGGGUGGUGUGGCUGGAGGUGAAGUGAGGAGGGUGUGGCGUGGCAAAUGCAAUUGAAAUGCAUUUUAAAAUUGCCAUUAAGUUGUGUUGAGUUAGAUAAUUUAAUUGUGACUUGUAGAUGAGUAGGUUUGGAAUUUUGUCUCCCCGAAACCAUGUUUCUUCAGGCUGUUUUGUCGCUUAGGUGGCAGUUUUGUAUGCUAUUGUAUCUGUAGAAUCCGGCACUACCAGACUUAAUCAGGACAAGGUGCACCAGAUACAGUGUGAUUUCACUGGGCUGCAUCAAACAUGCAAGUUCAACACAGACUUACUUGCUAGUUCUGGACCACAGGUUUAGAACCUAUACACAUAGGAAUUCUCAUAAAUUCUAUUUUUCACAAUAAACACCAAAGAAGAAAAAAAUAGGAUGUAUUUAUAUUAUUGCAUGUGGUAAUCAUCAAGUAUAUUCCUAACAGGAGAGCAUUUCCAUUUUGAUGAAACUUCAGUGUUAGAGUCAAAUCUUCUAUUUAAAAAUGUACAUACCCAGUGAUGGGAACCAUUUUCCACAGACUACCUUCUGACCCCAUACCGUUCAAACCUCAUUUCUCCUCCACUACCCUCACCACCCUUCUGUUGUUGGGCACUGAGAGACCUGUUCACGGUAAAAUACCCCGUCUGCCCGUCCACUGUUGAUGGUUUCAUCAGGUAAGUCGGUGCAGGGCAGGAAGAGCAUUCCUCGAGUCAUUGGUCUAUUAUGCCUCUUUCCUGUAAGGUGAUCCGCAGAAGUGACCAAAAGCCGCAUGAAUAUAUCCCGCUGAACCCGAACUAAAUGUAUCCUCAACUCAGCCUCCCCUUUAAAAAAAAAAACUUUAUUGAAGUACAGUUGAUUUACAAUGUUGUGUUAAUUUCUGCUGUACAGCAAAGUGAUUCAGUUACACAUAUAUAUACAUUUUAUAUACACACACACAUACAUACACACACACAUUCUUUUUCAUCUUCUUUUCCAUUCUGGUUUAUCACAGGAUAUUGACCAUAGUUCCCUGUGCUCUACAGCAGGACCUUGUCAUUUAUCCAUCCUGUAUAUAGUAGUUUGCAUUUGCUAAUCCCAUAGCCUCCCCUUACGGAUCCCCAAUUUGUGCAAAUUUAUCUGAGAGAUAAAUUUUCAGACUGGGAUUCCAGAUCCAAAAGGAAAAUGGAUUUGAGAUGUUGGUGGACGUUACCAGACUUCCCUCCACACCCAUUUACUGUUCCUAACUCCCACCGGCAACGUGGGAUGGUGCAUAAUCCCCACAGCCUCCACAGCAGAGAAUGCUGGCCAACUUGGGCAUUUUGACAGCCUGAUGGGUCAGAAAUGGAAUCUUAGUUUUCAUUUGCUUUCCUCUCAUUAUGUGCCCAUUUAUCUUUCGGGUUAUUGGCCUUUUCCUUUUCAACUUCUAGAAGAUCAUUCUUUCUUAGGGGGAUUCAUUCCCAUGAAUUGCAAAUGUUAUCUCCCAAUUUGCCAUUUCUCUUUUGACUUCGCUUUUAUGACUUUCUGUUUGCUUUUUAUUUGCUUGUUUUGUUGCCAUAAAGAAAAUCUUAUUUAUUUUUUUAAUACAAUAGCUUCUUUUUUUAAAAAAUAGUUUUUUAAAAAAUUUAUUUUAUUUAUUGAUUUUUGGCUGCGUUGGGUCUUUGUUGCUGUGCUCAGGCUUUCUCUAGUUGCGGCAAGUGGGGGCUACUCUUCGUUGCGGUGUGCACAGGCUUCUCUUUGUGGUGGCUUCUCUUGUUGUGGAGCACGGGCUCUAGGGUGCAGGCUCAGUAGUUGUGGCGCACGGGCUUAGCUGCUCCGCGGCAUGUGGGAUCUUCCUGGACCAGGGCUCGAACCCGUGUCCCCUGCAUUGGCAGGCGGAUUCUUAACCACUGUGCCACCAGGGAAGCCCCAGCUUCUUUUUUUUAAAUAAAUUUAUUUACUGGUUUUUUUUGUCUGCGUUGGGUCUUCAUUGCAGUGUGCAGGCUUCUCAUUGUGGUGGCUUCUCUUGUUGUGGAGCAUGGGCUCUAGGCACGCAGGCUUCAGUAGUUGUGGCACAUGGGCUCAGUAGUUGUGGGCUUGUGGGCUCUAGAGCUCAGACCCAGUAGUUGUGGCACACGGGCUUAGUUGCUCCGCGGCAUGCGGGAUCUUCCCGGACCAGGGCUCGAACCCAUGUCCCCUGCAUUGGCAGGCGGAUUCUUGACCACUGCACCACCAGGGGAGUCUCAAAUCUUACUUUUUUAAUGUAGCCAAAUGUAUUUUUUUUUCUUGUGCAGCAUCUAAAUUUUGAGUUAUACUUAGAAACGACUUCCCCAUUCCAGGAUUAUAAAAGAAUGUUGUCUGUUUUAGUUUAUAGUUUCCCUUGCUGCAUGUAAAUCUUUGAACUACUUGGCAUUGAUUUUGGUGUAUGGUGUGAGGUAUACAUACAGCUUUAUCUUUUUUUCCCAAAAGACUAUUUUGUCCCAACACCAUUUAUUAAAAAGUUCAUCUUUAUCUUUCCACCUUGUCAUACACUAAAUUUCCAUCUGAUUUGAGUCUUUCUGGACUUACUAUUCUGUUCCAUUGGUCUAUUAUGUCAGUACUACACGAUUUUCCUUCUUCAUAUAGGCCAUGGUGUUUUAAUAUUAUUUAGGGUUAGGUUCCUCGCCCCUUCUCACUUUUCUUCCUUUUCAGAGUUUUCCUGGCCCUUUUUGUUUGCUUGUUUUUCCUUGUGAUCUUUAUUUAUUUAUUUAAAAUUAAUUUAAUUUUGUUUUUGGCUGCAUUGGGUCUUCGUUACUGCAUGCGGGCUUUCUCUAGUUGUGGUGAGUGGCGGGGGCUACUUUUCGUUGCGGUGCACGGGCUUCUCAUUGCUGUGGCUUCUCUUGUUGCAGUGCGCGGGCUCAGUAGUUGUGGCAUGCAGGCUUCAGUAGUUGUGGCUCGUGGGCUCUAGAGCACAGGCUCAGUAGUUGUGGCGCAUGGACUUAUUAGUUGCUGCGCGGCAUGUGGGAUCUUCCCGGGCCAGGGCUCAAACCCGUGUCCCCUGUAUUGGCAGGUGGAUUCUUAACUGCUGUGCCACCAGGGAAGCCCCCUCAUGAUCUUUAUAAUCCGCCUGUCUACAACAGAGAAUAAACAGCCGCCACUUUGAGAUGGCAUUAGAUUUAUAGAUGACCUUGGGGGGUAUGACAUCUUUCUGAUGUUGCAUCUUUAUAUCCAAGAACAUGGUGUGUCUUCUCGCUCAAGUCUGUUAGGUCAUUCAGGAAUGUGUUCAAGUUUUCCUUCUACUUACGUAAGUUUUAUACAUUAAUUAAAUUUAUUUCCCGAUACUUGAUGUUUUAUUGCUGUUGUAAUUGAGGUGUUCUUUCCAUUUUAUUUCCAUUUUAUUAUCUAACUAGUUAUUGUUUGGAUUUAUGAAAGCUGUUGAUUUCUGUAUAUUUUGUAUCUCACUAGCUUACCAAAUUACUGGUUUUAGAAAUGUAGCUUGUUGGUUGGUUCUCUUGGAUUCUCUACUUACACAGUCAUUUCUUUGGCAAGUGAUAAUUUUAUCUCCUCCUUUUUAGUUUUUAUUCUUCUGAUUUUAGUCUCUUGGCCUUUUGCAUUGGCCCUGAGUUCUGUUUUGAAAAAUGUUCAUUUUGAGCCACUAGUGAGCCCUCCAUAUGGAGGCAUAAGUUUGAAGCUUAAGAGAGAGUUACUAGGGCUGGGAAUCACAUUUGCAAGUCAUUAACUGAAGAUGGUAGUUCAAACACUGGGACCCUGUGUGUUUGCCAAAGGCGAAAGUGCAGUGGGGAAAGGGGACAGAGCUGGAGACAACAGUGGCAACAUGCGGGCGGUGAUGGCCAGAAACCACAGAGAGCAGAAAGGAAGGGCUGGCUUUCUUUUUUUCGCCCCCCCCCCCCUUAAAUAGACUUUAUUUCUAGAGGAGUUUUAGGUUCACAGCAAAGUUGAGCAGAAAUUUCAGAGGUUUUCCAUGUACCUGCUGCCCUACCCCCACCCCGCCUUCCUGUGGGCAGCCCCCAGGGAGUGGUACACCUGUUACGGAGAUGCCCCUACCAAGAGCUGUCAGUAUCACCCAGAGUCCCCAGUUUAUGUUAGGGCUCACUCUGGGUGUUGGGCAUUCUGUGGUUUGGACGAAUGUGUAAGGAUGUGUAUGCAUCAGAGUAUCAUACAGAACAGUUUCACAAAAGGCUAAGUUUGCUUUUGCUCACUCCACAUGCGCACCCAUACUGUAGGUUAUUUGCAUUGUGCCGUGGUUUGUAUUUCUGUACUAAUCAUACCACUUUCUUUAGUCUUUAUUGAACUUCAUCUUGUUUGUUAGCAGUCAUUUCUUUAAUCUUUCAAUAUCUUUUCCUCAUUCCUUUUAUUCUAUUUAGAAGAGAAGUAAAGAAGUUCCUUUAGUGGAAAUUGUUCAAACACUUACCUGCAGGGAGGAAUUGUGCUUGAAUGGGAGCCUGAGGGUUGUUCCUUUGGGUGACAGAUGAAGCAAUUAAAUAGAUAUCAAGAUUCACAGUGUUUUUUCUGAUUUUCAUGGACCGGAACUUAAAAAGCAAUUCUUAAAAAAAAAAAAAAACACUGGCUCUUAAAAUAUUAAUAGUUCAUUCUUCUGUUUGGAACAAGUUCUGUAGUCAUUUUCCUAGGUUUGAAUGAUAACCAACCGCAGAGGAUACUUGAUAGAGUAGGAAGGUUGUCUAAGAUGUUGAAAAUGUAUUUUCUCCUAUUAGAAUAUUUGAAUGAGUGAGAACCUUGGUUCUUUGCCCAUAGCUGACCCUGUACUCAUUGCUCAGCAUCUCAGCCAAGUUGAUGUGUGAGCCCGCUUUCUAGCAAUACAGGAUGAAUACAUCCAUGUGUGCAGCGACGUCUUAUGUUCUCUCUCGGGUUUGUUACUCUUGCCGUCCCUGGAAGUAGGCUGAGACUUUUUGUAGACGAAAUAAAGAUAAACUUAUAAGUAGCCAGAUUCCUGUGUACUGCUUAGACACAUAAGUGGAACUUUCUAAUUGGUAUAAACUCCUGUCGGAAUCAAAGUUAUGUUUUUUUAAAUAGAAAUUGGAGAACCAGGUAGGUGAGAGGUGGGUGCUGCUUCUUAGUAACUGAUUUCAUCAGUGUGGUGAUUUGUUGUCUGAGCCUUUAUGGGUGGAGAUGGGUGCCGUCCUCUGAAAAGCAGAAUCCCGGGGUUCUGUGGCACCUGCGCCUCCCGUCCCUAACAGGCCACCCUGUCCCAGGCUAAACUCACGUGAAUUGAGACAGUGCGUGUCUGCCCAAGGGUGUUGGCUGCCGAGUGGUGGCCACUGAUCAGCUCCUGCCCUGCAGCCAGCUCCUUUGAUCUGCAGUAUUCUGAGCUGCUUCUCAACAAGGGUACCUCCGCUUAGAUACGAGCCUUCUCUUCUCUGAGCAGUGGAGUGAGGAAAUAGGCACACCACCCCCACCCCCACCCCCACCCCCACCCCCGCCAAGAAAAAGUCAGAAGCCGAUCCAGGCCUGUUGACUAUUGACGUUGAGGCAAUUGUUUUAUUGAUUUAGCUGUCUUUCAUAUGAAGAGUUGUAGCUUUAUUCAUUUGUAUGAAAGAGAAGCAGGCCUUCUGUUCUAGAACAUUAAUUGGGAAAUCUGGGGGCUUCCCUGGUGGUGCAGUGGUUAAGAAUCCGCCUGCCAAGGCAGGGGACACGAGUUCGAGCCCUGGUCCGGGAAGAUCCCACAUGCCGCGGAGCAGCCAAGCCUGUGCUUCACAACUCCUGAGCCUGCGCUCUAGACCCGUGAGCCACAACUACUGAGCCCUCGUGCCACAACUACUGAAGCCUGUGUGCCUAGAGCCCAUGCUCCGCAGCAAGAGAAGCCACUGCGAUGAGAAGCCUGCGCACCACAACGAAGAGUAGCCCCUGCUCACUGCCGCUAGAGAAAGCCCGCGCGCAGCAACGAAGACCCAACACAGCCAAAAAUAAAUAAAAUAAAUUGUAAAAAAAUUUUUUUAAAAAUUGGGAAAUCUGGAAGUUUCAAUAAUCUCUUUGAAACAGUGUGUAGCAGGUGGGUAUAAGUACACUUCUGGAGACUGGGGGCGGAAAGUUAAUCAUAAGAAAUGAUUAUUGGCUGUUAAUACGUUCUGCAGGGUUUCUAAACCCCUUCUGUGUCUACGUGGUGCAGUUUGCUCAGAUUGCAAAGUUGUCUUCCUGCUUGAGGCUGUAAUCCUGGAGUCGUUAGUUACAGAGAGAACCCAGGUGGCCUGGGAGGGGUGUUCAUGUGUGGUUUCCUCGACUGGCGGGGUUGGUCUCAAUUUUAAGUGGCAGCCAAUCCUGUCUAUACAGACAUUCCAGAUUUCUUUAAACAGUGGUGGAUUUGUGUCUACUGACUUGUACUGAUUUUCCUUAAAUAUUUUUAAAAAUUAAUUAACUUUCUAAUAAUGGGAGGCCCUGCUCUUUUGGUGGAGUCGAGUUGUGGAGAAGAGAACAGGGAUCCCCGAACUUGAAUGGGGCUUCUCUGCCUGGCGGCUUCACAGUGUGCUCGACUUCAUAGGUGAGGAACCUGUGGAAGUUGGUAGCGGGACCCUGCCAGCUGUUGCGUGGUGUCCAGUUUUCGUUGGGAAUAAUAUGUGUUAGGUGAGCAUCGUGUAUGAGGAGGAGCCUGGCGGGGGGAGGUUGUGGGGGGACGCGGAGUCCAGGACCAGAGCUGGUGGCAUCGCGGGCCACGCCGCGGAGGGCCUUAGGGAGGAGCAGUUCUGGUCGCAGGGACCAGGGUGGACCUCGUGGAACGAGCGGUGACUGAGCCCGGGAGGACCAGCAGGCGGUCCACGGCUGGGGUGGGCCCUCCUGCAAGGAGGACAGGCAUGCACACGAUGGCGGGGAAGCGCAGUGUGCUCCGGGCAGCGAGCCGAGGCUACGGGCCGGGCGGGAGGAGAGGCUGGAAGCAUCUCUGAGGACCAGAGAAGAGGCACUUACAUGGCGCGAGGGAGGCUCUGGUUCCCGUGCCGAGUAGGUGGGGAAGAACCGUCCAUGACUGAACGACCUUCUCCACCAGCUUGGUCCAUGCCCCUUAUCUUUCCAACAAAUCACUCCAGCCCUCUCGUUACUGAGGGCUAGGAAGUCCACCGUCUCCUUCAGGAUGACCCUUCUUGACCUAGGACUUGUCCUGCAGACCUCCGGGGAUUCCUUGGUCGGGCCGUGAGCCCGGAGAGCUGGGGGAGUCGCAGCUCUUUUUUCUGGCGCUGAAUACGCAGCUGCUCCUCCCCGAGCACAGCUGCUUGGCGGGGUCGCUGGGUCCCCAGGGGCUUCUAUCUUAAGUACAAGUUGUGCUGAAACCAGCACCCUCCUUGAGCAUCCGGGCCUUGGUUUUGAGCCCGAGUCACCCUUUCUUGGUGUCCUCGCUUGCCGGCUGACCUGGGAUGCCCAGUGUGUCAGGCUGCCUGGGAACUUCUCUAACAGGAGGGAACGAGGGCAUCUCUCCUUUGCUUCCAAGAGGCUCCUUGGCCCAGAUGCAGAUUGGACCAGUGGAGUUUGAAUUACUGCAAAGGAAACCUUGGUCAGGACCCGGAAGGUGCUUUUAUUCUUUUUCCAGGGCAGUGGGUGCCUAUACUCAUCUGAUAAUUGCAUCCUCGGGAGGGCUGACUCACAGACCUCUCCUGUUGACAGAGCAGCUCUGCAGCGGCUCCAGAACACGGGAAGGUGGGCCCCACCAGGCUCCUGCAGCACGUGGUCAAAGUUACUGAGUACAGCUCUGCCGAGGGACACAGGUGGCUGCCUGACAAGUAUAACAGAGGCGAGGAUGGGAUGUGUCCUUGAAGGAGCAGAGGCAGAGCUGGCCUGCUGGCCUCUGGGCGUCCAGUUCAGUGGAGACUCCGUCCUGAACGUGAAGAUGCAUGCAGCAGGCGCUAGCAGUGGGCUCGGGUGUUCGUGCGGUGUCCCUGUGGAGGCAUGGGGGCAUCUGGUCAGGAUACUGCUGCCCUUAAACAGCCUCCCUUCUGGUUGGAUUGCUUGGGCACACAGCAGUUUUCCAUUUCCUCCCCACUUUGGGAAUGAUGUGGCGAUCGUUUUAAUUUCUAGUAUCUCUGUCCCCUGGGAUAGGUUCCUAUUUAUCUCCGAAGUGAUCAGUCAGCAUUGAAAGCAAUGCAGUUGUAUUUCUUACUGCACAUGGAUAAUUGGACAUGCUGAUUUGAAACAUAAAUUUCCAAAGUGUGACUAAUGUAAUUGAGGACCUGAGCAAUGGGUCCACUCCUGGCAGGUAAUAAACAAAUCCGGCUUCUGGGCCUGCAGAGGCCCUCCGUGGUGAGCAUCUCUGGGUGAGGCUCCUCAGGAGAGGUGCUGGCCCUGCCUCCCUGCAAGACGCUGUCGCGCUGUCACAUGAGCCGUGAGCAAGUUUCUCACUUACUGCAGAGCCCUUGGAUCCCUGCUCAGACGGGGCCCCUUGCCUGGAACACACUUACCCUUGACCCUGCUCUUCAUCUGGUUCCAUCCUACUCAGCCUCCGGGUCACCUCCUCACCCUGCCCUAACCCUCAAUCUGAAGUUCCUAUUGUUCUCUCUUUUCCCUCUUAGAACUUACUGUUAUUAUUAUUGUGAUGAUGAUGAUGGUGAUGGUGAUGAUGAUGUGCGUGUGUGGGGUGGGUUAUGCUGCCUUGCCUUACGGGACAGAAAGCAGAAGCCGGGCGGAGGCCCUGUGGUCUUGUUCACGUGCGUGGCCCUGCUGCAGGCACAGUCCCUGCUCCAGGCAGGCGUGGAGUAGUAUUUGCUAAAUGAAUGAAAGCCCUGGGUGUGGUGGGUACAGUUGGGAGGGAAAAGGCCUAGAGAGGACCCCAAGGGGUGAGGGGAAACCCUGCUGAAGGUUGUGAGAGCAGCUGUCUGUGAACCGUGGCGUGCCUCGCGCGACCUGCUCAGCCGCGGGGUGAUGUCUUAUUUUAAGACGCAAAUAGCAUUAUCCAUUUUCUUUUUUCUGAUUGUGAAGGUACAAACUCCUAAAAAUUUUCAGAAAAUUACAAAGAGGAGAAUGAAAGUCAUCUAUAAUCCUGCCAUUUUCACCAUUUUGGUUUGUGUAACUUGACUUUUCUGUGAGUAUAUAUAUUUUUCAAAACACGAACACAAUUGUAUGUACUUAUGGUUUCCUACCCAGCUCUUCUUAUUUAAUUAUGUUGUAGACAUCCUUCCAUGUCAGCGAGAUCCACGUUGUCAUUGAUUGGCUGUGUGGUAUUGUCGUUGGAAUGCAAGCCUGUCUCCUGUUGUGAACACUUAGAUUACAUCGGGGUUUUUUCCCAUGUAAAUUGCACUGAGAUGAACAUUCUUCAGAUUGUAAUUUCAGUCCUCCAAGAGGGAACUUUGCUUGAGUCUGGUGGCUGAUAGAGUAGAAUGCAAAUUGGGAUUCCAAGUGUUUAUUUUUGACUGUUUCUGUCUCCUUGGGGUUUGCAUUAGUCAUUUGAUGCCCUCCACAGGAUCCAAAAAUCUCCCCAAAAGUUCCUCUUUCCCUGCCUAGUAGAAUGGGAAUAGACAGGUAGUUUUUAGCUUUAGGUGCCUGAGGCUCUACUUUAAGGAGGAGAAACUCCUUGUAAGUUUCUAGCUGAAGGAUGUUAACAGUUAUUAAUAGAAUCACAGUUAACAGCAGCAGCAGUACCUAAUGUUCAGUUGUUAAUUGUCCACCACGUGCCAGAGUGUUUGGAGUAGUAGCUCCUGGGUGGUUCUCACAGCAGUCCUUGAGAUUGGUGCUAUCAGCCCCAUUGUACAGAUGAGGAAACUGAGACCUAACCAGAUGAAAUAACUUGAACGAGGCUUGUGAGGAUGGAGUUGAGCUGUGGACCCCCCGGUCGCGUGUUCCUGGGGUCUGCCUUGGCGACCACGUGCCCUCCACUCUGUGUGCGUCUCAGGAAAAUGAGCGCACCUGGCGGUAGCGAGCUAGUUGCCUUAUAAGGUUUUUAAGAAGAGAAGCAGAAAUGUGUUAACAUUUGGGGGAAACGUAUUUAAAGUGAAGACGUGACUGCUUUUAUUUAUUUGGCUACAGAUUGUAGCGGUUGGGAGAGGUGAGUCGGUCGGGGGUCUGGUGCCCCGGCCGCCUUUAACGACUGCGUGUUUCCUCCUUGGAUCUCCCUCUUCACUUUCUUUGGCUCAGUCAAGUUUUACCUCCUGUUCCUCUGGUCUGUGCUGUUACUGGACAGCUGUUAAACAUCUGUUGCUCUCUGCUCUGAGGACGCGUGGUGGGUGUGUGUACACAGUGGCUCUGAUCCUGUUGGUGUCGGCGCCGGGAGCCUUCAGAACGAAGGGUCUCUCGUGGCCCUGUGCAGCGUCUUCUCUUCUCCUAGUCACCGCAGCCUUAGAAGCUGCCAGUUGCCAAUAAAGAUGUCUAACAAAAUUAAGAGACCUUUUCCCAUCACAGGAAUAAAGGAAAAGAAAAAGAUAAGACAAAGUGGAAGGAGGAAGUCUCCUACUAAAAAGGGAGAUUUUUAAAAAUCAUUCUUAAAAAUACGGUGCUCUCAAGUGUGAGGGAAUCCUCUUGCGGAUCUGGGCAGUGGGAGGGGUGUUGGAGUGGGAGGACGCGUCUCAGCGGGGGGAAACAGCCCAGAUUUGCCGAAGAUGAAAUGUAACGUUGAGCAGGGCUUGGACGCAGAUAAGAAGUUCUUUUGCCUCCUCGACUUGCUUUAAAACCGUUCAUUUUUUAUUUUUAAGGUCAUUUGGGGGGAGUCUCUUUGCUCCCAGCCUGGCUCUUUCAGUGUGGCCUGACCCCUGAGUCCUACCCUCCCACACAACUUGAGAACUUGAUUUCUUUGCUCACAAAGACUUCUUUCCAACCCCUCUCUUCCCCGCAAAAUACUCCGUAUUUGGUGCUGAGUAUUCUGCACAGAGCAUGGCUAGAGGGCCUGUUAAGUAUGUCCUUCUGUCCUGUGGACAUGGAAAAGUAUGAGCUUUAAAGCAAAUGUAUAUAAAAAGGAAAUGUUCUCUAAGCCAGGGACACACGGUUUUCCCUUUAUGAAAGUGCUGAGCGGUGUGGUCUAUUCAACAUGCCUCUUUGAAACCGGAAAGAAGGUGAUCAGUGGCGGUUUGAGAUAGUGAAAGGGAAUGGAGAAUCGAGAACAUGGCUCCUUAGACCGUUCUUCUGUGAGCCUUGGCUUACAGAGUUAAACACUUAAACAAGGAUGUAAAAUAAGGGUAAGCGUCACAUUUUCACAUUCACAUUCAUUGUUAAAUGUUUUUUUUUUUAAAUAGGAGACUCUGAGUCAGAGUGAGCCUGAGCAAUGGUCUGGUUGUUGAAAUUUACCCCACCUACCACAUUUCCAUGAUUAAAGAAACAGACCUGCAGCAAAUCAGAGGCUCUCAUUCUCCAAAGAGUUGAGUUUUUAAACGCUGGUUCAGCUGAGGUCCUGUAAGUUUGCUUGUUCACAUUCACGGUGGAAUUUUCUGCUGGAGGAAUCAUAAUAACAUUUUCAGGAACAUUUUCAAUAAAGUUUAUGAGAUGAGGUGGUCUUGGAAGAUACACAAAGAAUCUAACAGCCCAUUUGGGUGGAGAACUACAGAUUUGCUAAUUACUGAAAACUUAGUUGAUGUGAAUGCUUCUUCCCUUUGGGAGCCCCGUGAAUUGGAGGCAGCUGUCCGUGACGGCGGGGCCCCCGUGCCUUGGCCCGUCUUUGUUGGGAAGACUUCCAGGUCUGAUGAGCGUUACAGGUUUCUGCCAGAGAUCCUUUGCUGAGGUUGAGAAAUCUUCUAUUCUUAGUUUACUGCAUUUUUUUUUUUUUUAAUCACGAAGGGCUGUUGAAUUUUAGCAAAUGCUGUUUUUCCGUCUGAGACGGUCGUGUGUUUUUCAUUAGGAGCCUUUCUGUACUAUUCGACUUUUUUUUUUUUUUUUUCUAUUCGA